UUUCCGUAGGUGAACCUGCGGAAGGAUCAUUAAUGAGUUGUCAUGGGGUUCGAUGCUGGCAGCCAAUUUUUGGAUGCAUGUGCUUCCCUAACAAUCAUCUUCCAAACACCUGUGCACAUUUUUGAGGGAGUCUUGAGUUGGUUGCCGCUCUUGGGUGAUUUUCUCACAUUCCCUUAAAUCAUUAUACGCUAUUAACAAUGUUGAACGUGCUCUGUGCCGCAAGGCUAUUAAUAUAAUACAACUUUUAACAACGGAUCUCUUGGCUCUCGUAUCGAUGAAGAACGCAGC
rnacentral:misc_RNA from 1 species